GGUUAAGUUAGAAAGGGCGCACGGUGGAUGCCUUGGCACUAGGAGCCGAUGAAGGACGGGACGAACACCGAUAUGCUUCGGGGAGCUGUAAGCAAGCUUUGAUCCGGAGAUUUCCGAAUGGGGAAACCCACCACUCGUAAUGGAGUGGUAUCCAUAUCUGAAUACAUAGGAUAUGAGAAGGCAGACCCGGGGAACUGAAACAUCUAAGUACCCGGAGGAAGAGAAAGCAAAUGCGAUUCCCUGAGUAGCGGCGAGCGAAACGGGACCAGCCCAAACCAAGAGGCUUGCCUCUUGGGGUUGUAGGACACUCUGUACGGAGUUACAAAGGAACGAGGUAGAUGAAGAGGUCUGGAAAGGCCCGCCAUAGGAGGUAACAGCCCUGUAGUCAAAACUUCGUUCUCUCCUGAGUGGAUCCUGAGUACGGCGGAACACGUGAAAUUCCGUCGGAAUCCGGGAGGACCAUCUCCCAAGGCUAAAUACUCCCUAGUGACCGAUAGUGAACCAGUACCGUGAGGGAAAGGUGAAAAGCACCCCGGAAGGGGAGUGAAAGAGAUCCUGAAACCGUGUGCCUACAAGUAGUCAGAGCCCGUUAACGGGUGAUGGCGUGCCUUUUGUAGAAUGAACCGGCGAGUUACGAUCCCGUGCAAGGUUAAGCAGAAGAUGCGGAGCCGCAGCGAAAGCGAGUCUGAAUAGGGCGAAUUGAGUACGUGGUCGUAGACCCGAAACCAGGUGAUCUACCCAUGUCCAGGGUGAAGUUCAGGUAACACUGAAUGGAGGCCCGAACCCACGCACGUUGAAAAGUGCGGGGAUGAGGUGUGGGUAGGGGUGAAAUGCCAAUCGAACCUGGAGAUAGCUGGUUCUCUCCGAAAUAGCUUUAGGGCUAGCCUCAAGGUAAGAGUCUCGGAGGUAGAGCACUGAUUGGACUAGGGGCCCCUACCGGGUUACCGAAUUCAGUCAAACUCCGAAUGCCGAUGACUUAUCCUUGGGAGUCAGACUGCGAGUGAUAAGAUCCGUAGUCGAAAGGGAAACAGCCCAGACCGCCAGCUAAGGUCCCAAAGUAUACGUUAAGUGGAAAAGGAUGUGGAGUUGCUUAGACAACCAGGAUGUUGGCUUAGAAGCAGCCACCAUUUAAAGAGUGCGUAAUAGCUCACUGGUCGAGUGACUCUGCGCCGAAAAUGUACCGGGGCUAAACGUAUCACCGAAGCUGCGGACUGUUCUUCGAACAGUGGUAGGAGAGCGUUCUAAGGGCUGUGAAGCAAGACCGGAAGGACUUGUGGAGCGCUUAGAAGUGAGAAUGCCGGUAUGAGUAGCGAAAGAGGGUGAGAAUCCCCUCCACCGAAUGCCUAAGGUUUCCUGAGGAAGGCUCGUCCGCUCAGGGUUAGUCGGGACCUAAGCCGAGGCCGAAAGGCGUAGGCGAUGGAUAACAGGUUGAUAUUCCUGUACCACCUCCUCACCAUUUGAGCAAUGGGGGGACGCAGGAGGAUAGGGUAAGCGCGGUAUUGGAUAUCCGCGUCCAAGCAGUUAGGCUGGGAAAUAGGCAAAUCCGUUUCCCGUGAAGGCUGAGCUGUGAUGGCGAGCGAAUUAUAGUAGCGAAGUUCCUGAUUCCACACUGCCAAGAAAAGCCUCUAGCGAGGUGAGAGGUGCCCGUACCGCAAACCGACACAGGUAGGCGAGGAGAGAAUCCUAAGGUGAUCGAGAGAACUCUCGUUAAGGAACUCGGCAAAAUGACCCCGUAACUUCGGGAGAAGGGGUGCUCUGUUAGGGUGCAAGCCCGAGAGAGCCGCAGUGAAUAGGCCCAGGCGACUGUUUAGCAAAAACACAGGUCUCUGCGAAGCCGUAAGGCGAAGUAUAGGGGCUGACGCCUGCCCGGUGCUGGAAGGUUAAGAGGAGCGCUUAGCGUAAGCGAAGGUGCGAAUUGAAGCCCCAGUAAACGGCGGCCGUAACUAUAACGGUCCUAAGGUAGCGAAAUUCCUUGUCGGGUAAGUUCCGACCCGCACGAAAGGCGCAACGAUCUGGGCACUGUCUCAACGAGAGACUCGGUGAAAUUAUAGUACCUGUGAAGAUGCAGGUUACCCGCGACAGGACGGAAAGACCCCGUGGAGCUUUACUGCAGCCUGAUAUUGAAUGUUGGUACAGCUUGUACAGGAUAGGUAGGAGCCUUGGAAACCGGAGCGCCAGCUUCGGUGGAGGCAUCGGUGGGAUACUACCCUGGCUGUAUUGACCUUCUAACCCGCCGCCCUUAUCGGGCGGGGAGACAGUGUCAGGUGGGCAGUUUGACUGGGGCGGUCGCCUCCUAAAAGGUAACGGAGGCGCCCAAAGGUUCCCUCAGAAUGGUUGGAAAUCAUUCGCAGAGUGUAAAGGCACAAGGGAGCUUGACUGCGAGACCUACAAGUCGAGCAGGGACGAAAGUCGGGCUUAGUGAUCCGGUGGUUCCGCAUGGAAGGGCCAUCGCUCAACGGAUAAAAGCUACCCCGGGGAUAACAGGCUUAUCUCCCCAAGAGUCCACAUCGACGGGGAGGUUUGGCACCUCGAUGUCGGCUCAUCGCAUCCUGGGGCUGUAGUCGGUCCCAAGGGUUGGGCUGUUCGCCCAUUAAAGCGGUACGCGAGCUGGGUUCAGAACGUCGUGAGACAGUUCGGUCCCUAUCCGUCGCGGGCGCAGGAAAUUUGAGAGGAGCUGUCCUUAGUACGAGAGGACCGGGAUGGACGCACCGCUGGUGUACCAGUUGUUCUGCCAAGGGCAUCGCUGGGUAGCUAUGUGCGGACGGGAUAAGUGCUGAAAGCAUCUAAGCAUGAAGCCCCCCUCAAGAUGAGAUUUCCCAUUCCGCAAGGAAGUAAGAUCCCUGAAAGAUGAUCAGGUUGAUAGGUCUGAGGUGGAAGUGUGGCGACACAUGGAGCUGACAGAUACUAAUCGAUCGAGGACUUAACCAA
rnacentral:rRNA from 1 species